rnacentral:rRNA from 1 species
CAGCCGCCACGGUAAUACGUAGGUCCCGAGCGUUGUCCGGAUUUAUUGGGCGUAAAGCGAGCGCAGGCGGUUAGAUAAGUCUGAAGUUAAAGGCUGUGGCUUAACCAUAGUACGCUUUGGAAACUGUUUAACUUGAGUGCAGAAGGGGAGAGUGGAAUUCCAUGUGUAGCGGUGAAAUGCGUAGAUAUAUGGAGGAACACCGGUGGCGAAAGCGGCUCUCUGGUCUGUAACUGACGCUGAGGCUCGAAAGCGUGGGGAGCGAACAGGAUUAGAUACCCCCGUAGUCCCUGUCUCUUAUACA